UUUCCGUAGGUGAACCUGCGGAAGGAUCAUUAAAGAGAAUAUGCCCUCCGGGGUAGAUCUCCCACCCUUUGUUUAUAUUACCAUUGUUGAAUUAGCAGGCCAGUCUUCGGACCACCGGCUUCGGCUGGUCAGUGCUUGCCAGUAGACCCAAAACUCUUAUUAUUAAUGUCGUCUGAGUACUAUAUAAUAGUUAAAACUUUCAACAACGGAUCUCUUGGUUCUG
rnacentral:misc_RNA from 1 species